rnacentral:rRNA from 2 species
GAGCUUGCUCCUUGGGUGGCGAGUGGCGGACGGGUGAGGAAUACAUCGGAAUCUACUUUUUCGUGGGGGAUAACGUAGGGAAACUUACGCUAAUACCGCAUACGACCUACGGGUGAAAGCAGGGGACCUUCGGGCCUUGCGCGAUUGAAUGAGCCGAUGUCGGAUUAGCUAGUUGGCGGGGUAAAGGCCCACCAAGGCGACGAUCCGUAGCUGGUCUGAGAGGAUGAUCAGCCACACUGGAACUGAGACACGGUCCAGACUCCUACGGGAGGCAGCAGUGGGGAAUAUUGGACAAUGGGCGCAAGCCUGAUCCAGCCAUACCGCGUGGGUGAAGAAGGCCUUCGGGUUGUAAAGCCCUUUUGUUGGGAAAGAAAUCCAGCCGGCUAAUACCUGGUUGGGAUGACGGUACCCAAAGAAUAAGCACCGGCUAACUUCGUGCCAGCAGCCGCGGUAAUACGAAGGGUGCAAGCGUUACUCGGAAUUACUGGGCGUAAAGCGUGCGUAGGUGGUUGUUUAAGUCUGUUGUGAAAGCCCUGGGCUCAACCUGGGAACUGCAGUGGAAACUGGACAACUA